rnacentral:rRNA from 1 species
UACGUAGGGUGCAAGCGUUGUCCGGAAUUAUUGGGCGUAAAGAGCUCGUAGGCGGUCUGUCGCGUCUGUUGUGAAAACUCGAGGCUCAACCUCGGGCUUGCAGUGGAUACGGGCAGACUAGAGUGCGGUAGGGGAGACUGGAAUUCCUGGUGUAGCGGUGGAAUGCGCAGAUAUCAGGAGGAACACCGAUGGCGAAGGCGGGUCUCUGGGCCGGAACUGACGCUGAGGAGCGAAAGCGUGGGGAGCGAACAGG